rnacentral:rRNA from 1 species
CACGUAGGGGGCGAGCGUUGUCCGGAUUUAUUGGGCGUAAAGAGCUCGUAGGUGGCUUAGUAAGUCGGGUGUGAAACCUCCAGGCUCAACCUGGAGACGCCACCCGAUACUGCUAUAGCUUGAGUCCGGUAGGGGAGCGUGGAAUUCCUGGUGUAGCGGUGAAAUGCGCAGAUAUCAGGAGGAACACCAGCGGCGAAGGCGGCCACCUGGACCAGACCUGACGCUGAGGCGCGAAGGCCGGGGGAGCGAACGGG